CCCCUUUCGCCGUGCGUCGCGCGCGGGGAGGGGGCGACGUCGGAGGCGGGCGGCGCCUUCGCAGUUGCCCCUGGUAACGGGGAGGCAGCGGGAGGAGGAGGAGGAGGAGGAGGAGGAGGGAGUCGGCGGGAGGAUGGGCUUACUCUCUAUUCUACGCAAACUGAAGAGUGCACCAGACCAGGAGGUGAGGAUUCUUCUCCUGGGGCUAGAUAAUGCUGGCAAGACUACACUCCUGAAACAGCUGGCAUCCGAAGACAUCAGCCACAUCACACCCACGCAGGGUUUUAACAUCAAAAGUGUACAGUCUCAAGGUUUUAAAUUAAAUGUUUGGGACAUUGGUGGACAGAGGAAGAUCAGGCCAUACUGGAGGAAUUAUUUUGAAAAUACGGAUGUGCUCAUAUACGUUAUCGACAGCGCAGACAGAAAAAGAUUUGAAGAGACGGGCCAGGAGCUAGCCGAAUUACUGGAUGAAGAAAAACUAAGCAGCGUUCCAGUGCUCAUCUUUGCUAAUAAACAGGAUUUGCUCACGGCUGCCCCAGCCUCCGAGAUUGCCGAAGGACUUAACCUGCACACAAUCCGCGACCGAGUCUGGCAGAUCCAGUCUUGCUCGGCCCUCACAGGAGAGGGGGUGCAGUAAAAUCAACCCUACACCAGCACCCUAGUUUUGAAGGAAAAUUUGAAUAAAAUGGAUGAAAUGUUUGAAAAAUUGAGAACAAAACUAAGCACUGAAUAAAUGCACCAGGCCAUUUCAGUGAGAGAGGGCCUCCAAGUUGGAGACAGGGAGCUCUCAAACUGGGCGUCACUUCAGCAGGUGAUCAUUUUUCCACUGGAAACCAAUUAGAUACUAAAAAUAAACCCGAUUCUUUUCAAAUUAAUCCUUUCCACGAAACGGUUUUAAAACCCGCUUUCAGCCAUUCAGAGACGGCAUGAACUGGGUCUGCAAAAACGUCAGUGCAAAGAAGAAAUAAAACCCAGACGAAUGGAGAUGCAGGAGCCGCGGGAACCGAAUCCUGUCCCGAAAACACUAAUUUGCUGCUUUCUGACCAAAUGUUUUUCCAUCUGUGAACAGCUCCAGCUGUAUAAAGAGGGGGAGCGGCCCAAUUUUUAAAAAAAAAAAAAAACGAAAGAGUCCCCACUCUGACAGUAGGUUUAACUGAUCGCCAAGGUUCAGUAUCAUUUUUCAAAUAAAGGAAUUACAUUAUUUCCUCUGCAUAAUUGAAAUAGUAUUAAAUGUCUCAAAGCACAUGAUUAGAAAAUGAGAUCUUUUAAAUGAGCACGAGAUUGCAAUAUAGUUUAGACAAAUCCAGUGGGCUUUAAAAAAAAAAGCUCAUGUUGAGUUCAUUUAUUCAAUGACUUGUACUGUGCAUUCCCCUUAUGGUUUGGAAAGUGGGACUGAUCAGGGAGAUUUCCCAUCUACAAACAAGCUGGUUUCCACUAUGCACCUAUUCGGGAUGGGGUGGAGGGGAAAGUAGAAGAUGAUUAAACCAUCUUGUCAUGCAGGUAGGAGAAUGUUCAUGUAAUCCUUCCCCUAUGGGCAUGGAAAAAAAAUCCUUUAUUGAAAACAAGUCACUGCAACAACCGAACUCCCACCCCCCUCCGGCCGCGGGAGAGAAGCACGUCCCUUAGGACUUAGUCUCUAAUGACAUUUGGAAUGUAGGCAAAGGUGGGAGGUUUAAUUCCAGAAAAAUUAAAAACUCCCCAAAACGCCCUCAAAUAGUGGCUGUAGACUAGUGUCAACAGAGCUGCUCCAGUUCACUGGAGCAACCCCACAGUUGACAUGGAGAUUAGCUGGCUUCACCCUCCGUCCGUCCACCGACCUACCGAGCUCAGAUAAUAACGGUGGUGUUUGUUGAGCGCUUACUGUGUGCCAAGCACUAGACAGAGCGCUGGGGUAGAAUCAAGAUAAUCAUAUCGAACAGUCAGAAUUCCGUGUGUAAGUGAUCACAAUUAGGUGCUGGGUAUCAGAUUUUAAAACUAAACGCAGCUUUGCUGCCUAAAUCCUCUUCACCCAGAAAAGCCAGGGGGAAUCUAUUUUUAGAGGAGAUCGAUUUUAAUGGAACAGGAAGUUGGUGAAGCGGGAUGAUGGUGUCAGAGUCUCGCAGUCAAGGAGGGCCCUGGUUUGCUUCAUGGCCGGGUGGUCAGAACCAUGGAAGCAAAAAUCUCCUCCCUGGACUGAAAACGAGCCCCCGGGAGCCUGUCGCGGUGUGUGGCGGUGGAGAUUGUGAGUGUGGGGGAGGGGUGAGGAAAGCACUCCAGAGCUCAGAGUGGAUUAAACAAAAAUUGUUUUCCCCUCCCGGGAAAAUAAAACAACACAAAAACCCAACCUCGGAUGGGAGAGCAGGACACUUCAAACAGCACUGGUGACCAGACCUAGAGGAUGAAGUGGUUCCCAGAGAAAGAGUUGGCAAUGCUUGCCCUGGGCACAAUGACCUCCCCACUGUCCCCCCAAAACACACACACACACAGAGUCUCUCUCUCUCCCUCCCCCCACCUCUCCCUCCCUCCCUCCCUCCCUCCCUCUGUACUUUCUAAGGCUGAGUGGGCAGGCAGGAAUUUCAAUGGGACUUGGAACCAGCCUCUCCUCACGCCAGAGGAGUGGUGCUUGAGCUGGGCCGAGGCCCCCAGAGGGCGGUCCGUGGUGCCCUUUGUGCUGGCCCCCCGGACUCUGCCCCUCGAUCCACCGCUUUGCGGGUUUGGGUCUCAGCCGAUGGGACACUUAGGGGGCCUGCUGCAAGGUGGGAUCUCAGCCGGAACCCAAAUUGGAACACCCAGAUUGGAACUCUGGACAAACGUGUGAGGACAUGAAAGCAAACAGAAAGUUAAUUUUUAAAAUUCCCUAAGCAAGUGGUUCUCCAGAUGCCCUAGUUGAUCUGGCUCCCUCUGAAUCCUUUCAGCGGGCCACUAGGCACUGGUCUCCUCAAGGGGAGAACUGUAUUGCCGCCUCCAUCUUCCAAAAGCUCGACCUGAUUAUCCAUGGGCUUCCCCGUCUAGUGCUGUAAACAGCUACAAAUCAGAUAUCGCAAAACUACUGUGUACUGUUCAAAUGGCUUAAGCUCAGUUUUCAGGGUUUGUGAUUAUAACUUUGCAGUAUGUGACUGACUGCAAUGAAAGUGCACAGUUUCUAAAAAUUUUUCAUACUUUUACCACCAUCCUACGGUGGUAAUUUACAGAAGAAUAGCCUUCCAUUAACCUUAAGUAGCUCUGUGCUACUUUUAGCAUGAGGUCUGAAUUCCACUCUUCCCUCUUUGAUAACUUUAGCAGAAAUGCUUGGUUUUGCUUUUGAACUAAAAAUACAUCAUAAUUGUUUAGAGUCACAAGCUUUCAUCUUCUUUUCUAGACUCAUUAAAAGAUGAAUGCUUUGGGGGAACUCUGUAGAACGUUUGGUUUUUCAAGUCCUUCCCCCAAACCCCAAUUUGGAGAAAUGAAAUAGCUUUUGGAAGGCUGAGGGGUGGAGGGUGGUUGACACCAAGUUACAGGUGGGGAUUUGGGAAGAGAAGAGAGAUCCAGCAUUCCACACACACACACCACCACCCCCCCAACCCCUGGGUGGCCAGACUUUGAUGAAGACCCCCCCUCCUACAGUAGGUUCUGCAAACAGGGAACAAUUGAGUCUGUUUAUGGAAGGAGAGGGAGAGAGAGAAUAUGGAUGAAUUUGAAUGAGGGAGUGUGCUAAGCUCCAGUGUGGGUGCCAUAAAGCUUUAAUGGCCACUGGUCUGGAUUGAAUACAUUGUGUCAAAGUUCUCAGACCAGCAAUGUUGAAAACUUUACAGCCCUUUCCUCUCCCUCUCUUUCUCUCCUCUCUCCAUCAGGCAGUUACUUUUGGCUCAUUUCCUCGAGUCCUGGGCACCCUUUCCCCUUUGAAAUACAUUGGUUGCUAUGGAAACAAGGAUGUCAUUGAUGUGGGAAGAGCUUGGAAACAUGUACAAGCACAGCAGAAAGUCAAUGAUUACAACGGUUAGAAAUAUGAUGCCAGGGUUUGGGAAACCCAGUGGCUUGGGGCAACUGCUGGGAGACCCUGCUUCACUGCCCACUCCCUCCUUCAGGUGAGGUCUCUCCCUGACUUUUUAUGAAUUUAUUUAUUACCCUCUCAUCUAAAAGUGGCAGGCUAUUUUUGUUAAGAGUUCCUUUCCCUCAUUGGUCUGAUAUUCUAAAAGCCUCUUAUCACUUCAUUCUGAGAUAAAGUUCUGAGACUGGGGACUACUCACCAUAAAUGUCAUUUUUCCCUUUCACUUUACUCAGCUCUAUACAAGUUGGAUUUUAGUUUGUUUUUUGCUCUUCUUUCUCAGUGAUCAAUGUUUUAUUUCUCUUUAUGUUCAGCUGUUCCGUGCCGUGCAGUUUCAAGAGUCUUUUUUUUUUUUACAGUCCCUUUUGAAAAUGGUAAUCAAAGGGGUUACAUGGUGUUUGGUUGUAUGGAAAACUCAAUGUAUAAUUUAGAUGUUGGUCAAAAAAAAAACCCAAAUAAAAUUUGAUAGAAAUAG